GACAGAGGUGCCGAGCGUUAGGCGGAAUCACUGGGCUUAAAGCGUGUGUAGGCGGAUUCCUAAGUACCUUGUGAAAUCCCAUGGCUCAACCAUGGAACUGCUUGGUAUACUGGGUGUCUUGAGCCAACUAGGGGCUACCGGAACAAAUGGUGGAGCGGUGAAAUGCGUAGAUAUCAAGAGGAACACCUGAGGUGAAGACGGGUUGCUGGUCUAACACUGACGCUGAUGCGCGAAAGCCAGGGGAGCGAACGGG
rnacentral:rRNA from 1 species